rnacentral:rRNA from 1 species
AUUGAACGCUGGCGGCAGGCCUAACACAUGCAAGUCGAGCGGAUGAAGGGAGCUUGCUCCUGGAUUCAGCGGCGGACGGGUGAGUAAUGCCUAGGAAUCUGCCUGGUAGUGGGGGAUAACGUCCGGAAACGGGCGCUAAUACCGCACACGCCCUGAGGGAGAAAGUGGGGGAUCUUCGGACCUCACGCUAUCAGAUGAGCCUAGGUCGGAUUAGCUAGUUGGUGGGGUAAAGGCCUACCAAGGCGACGAUCCGUAACUGGUCUGAGAGGAUGAUCAGUCACACUGGAACUGAGACACGGUCCAGACUCCUACGGGAGGCAGCAGUGGGGAAUAUUGGACAAUGGGCGAAAGCCUGAUCCAGCCAUGCCGCGUGUGUGAAGAAGGUCUUCGGAUUGUAAAGCACUUUAAGUUGGGAGGAAGGGCAGUAAGUUAAUACCUUGCUGUUUUGACGUUACCAACAGAAUAAGCACCGGCUAACUUCGUG